rnacentral:lncRNA from 1 species
GAAGGAUUCUGAUUGGUCCUGCUUCAGUCACAUGCUUGCAUCUUAGUCCAAUCACUGUGGCCUGGAGGAUGGGACACCAUGAUUUGCAAGACUCUGGUCACAUGCCCACACCUGUGGCUUCUGAAGCAGAGCACCAGCAGUGACAGUCCCACCAGAACCGCAUGGAAUAGAAAACUGUGCAUUUCCCUAAGGAAAGGGAAUGCCAGAGAAGGGCAGAAGGGAAAUCAGGAAGACAAAACGGUAAAUUACCUACCACAAAUCCAAUUCAUUGGUAUUUUUCCACUUACACUUAACCAAGCAACGAUUUCUCCUGGUCCCAUAAUGGAAAAGAGGGUUUAUCUAGAUUCAUAUAUACAAGACUGAAGAGUGAAGAGAGACCCAGAGAAUGUUCUAAAAUCUGCCAGUUAGCAUAAUCACACAGAGAAAUCUCUGCUUCCAGAGGAGGAGCCAAGUUCAAGUCAGAGUGUCUUCAUGUUGGAGUGGACCUUUCCUCUAUCUGUCAACAGAAUGGAUAAAUUGUGGAAGAGUAAUAUCAGAAUACUACACAUCAGUAAAAAACAACAAACUUCUGCUACAAACAAUCAACAUCGAUGAAUCUUUCAGGCAAAAGGGCAAAGAAAAGUAUUGGUCUUCCAAAACAAAUAGAGGACGGAGCUGCUGCUGUUGCAUGGUGUCUAGAAACUCAGACAACUUCAUCAUUCCAUAUUUGCAUCCAAGAGAGAGAAAGAAAAACUACAAUCAUUUUCCAUUUACCCAUCAACCCAUCAACCUCCAAAUAAAGGCUAUUAAAAAACAAUCAAAGUGUGAAGAGGGCAGAAAAUGUGAUGAAGAGAUUCUUUGGAGAAAGUAGCUGCCACUGUUACCUUGGGAUCUGCCUAUAGUCCUCACAGAGCUUGCCCUUGCAGGAUAGAACAUAGGAGUCUGGGAGUCUGCAAGAAGAGACAGGGUCUCACUAUGUUGCCCCAGUUGGCCUUGAACUGCUGGACUCAAGGGAUCCUCCUGCCUCAGCAUCCUGAGUAGCUGGGUCUACAGGCAUGAACCACCAGGCCCAGAACCCUGUCUUUUGAAAGCCAUAUGCGAUCUGUCUGCCCUGAAGUGACUACUUCAUCUCCAACCAGCCCUUGGCUGGCAAAGUCAGGAAGACUCCAGUCUUUCCUGAAGACCAGGGGAGAGUUUAUAACUCUAGCAUCAAAGUCAGCAGCUGUUCAUCUAGAAGACAACUUCCCAAAAGUCAAUGUCUUUGCCUGAAGCUUUUCUUCCCAGAUCUCCUAUGGUGAAACAACCAAAGGGAAGAAGAAUGUGGGCAGCCCUCAGUAAGACAGGAGAUGAGCAUCAACAUUGACCCAUUCUUUCUUCCAGUCCUCGAUGCUUACCUUGUACAUUCUUCUUUGUCUUCCGACUCAGUGCCUUUAGGGUAUGGACGUUGCCUGGUCCCACACAAGCCAAGCAUCAAAUGGAUGGCUCAACAAGGAGGCCAAGACCAGCUAAUGUUUAGUGAGCACCCAAAGGGGCCACACUGGAGAGAACAGCACAGCUCCGUCUGAGAAACAGCUGUUCCUUCCUGCCUGAGAGGCAGAGUGAUAGAAGAUAUCACAGAAUGUUGCUGCUUUGUCUUCCACCCUGAACCCUCCACGACCUCCCUGUAGCUUCCUGAUUUUAAGUAGACAUCAAAUGAUUCUUAAUCCUUUCUGGGUCUUGGAACGAUUUGAAAAUUGUCAACAGUACUGGGAUUCCCAGAAUAAUGCACAUAUGUACAUACUCAGAUAUUCCCCAAGCCCUGGAUAUAAUUUUAAGGGAGUUCACAGACCACACUCCCCCACCCAUCUGUGGACCCAGAUUCUGUGGGUUCGAGAUUCAGAAGCCCUGUUUCUAGGCAGGCCCUCUGUUGCUAACGCCCCUCGAGAACAUCACCCUAGAUGAUUAUCCCUUCUUCCUCCACUCCUUCCCACCUUCUCCAACUGCUGGGUUUCAGCACAAAGAUUGCUUGCCAGUUAAACUGGCACCAUGGACCGCACAGUAGUUGUUUCUUGGGUCUAGAGGAAACAGCCAGAUUCCUUUAAGUAAAUCAUGUCUUAGUUAUUGAUUGUCUCCACUUGAAGUUUUUGACAAUCUCUGAUUAAAUCAUAAACCACUGCAUCCUCCAUCUCCUGCUUCAGUCUCUCAAACCAAAUGUCAGUUUCUUUGUAGCCCUUCAAUUCAAAGUUUGCAAAUUCUGGAUCUAGGCUUCAUUCUUUCACUCAUUUAAGCACUAACAUCUAUUGCAUAACUAUUAAAUGCCAGGCACUGUUCUAGGCAUCAGGGACAUAAUAAUGUACAAAACAGCCUUCAUGUUAAUUUACUUAUUCUCUUCCAAAAUGCUAAUUCUAACCAGUGCUGCUUUAAAAACCAUUAUAAUUAUUACAAUAACUGCCUAAGUUAUAAGCUCUAUUCUAAAUAGUUAAUAUGUAUUAUUAUUUUUCAGAAAACUCUAUGAGGUAGGUAUUAUUAUUAUCAUUCUUAUUUUACAGAAGUGAAAAUCAUAAAGGUUAAGUAAUUUGCCCCAGCUAGAGAGGGACAAAGACAAGAUGUAACAUGAGGCAGUUUGACUAAAUUACUUACUGCUAAAUUCAGCAUCCCUGAUUAUGGUUACAAAGCAAGAUUAGAUUCUUUAGCACUGUUGAAAUGUGAACAGAUGUAUUACAAAAAAAAUUGUCUAGCAAUGUGCAUAUAUUUAAGUAGCCCCGAGGGUUAUCUGUGGUUGCCAAGAGGCUCAAAGUCAGCAUGAAUAUAAUCAGGAGGCACUGAUGACUUUGUUACCCAGAGAUGGUUUGGGGAUCCGUCAGGAGUAUCAUGCACAUGGACAGGAAUGUGAGGCAGAGGAUUACUGGAGUUGAGCUGGCAGUCAAGGGACAAACAAGCCAAAAGUUAUAAAAAACAUAUUUUAAAAUUAUAUAUUUUUAAAUAAUCGUGAUGGACAGAAGAAAUUGUAAUCCUGAGGCAAUAACUGAGAAAGUAUUGAGUAGGUAAUAAAAGGCCUGAGUAGGCUGAAAUAAAUGUUUUAAAAUAGCAGUUUCCUGUAUCCAUGGCUUCUAAAGACCUCCGUUAGUGCGAAUAGUAACUCAAAUGAAAUUUAGAACCAAGAAUAAUUGAGAGGGGUAGCUCACAGGCAGGAGUGAAUUGUGUUUUGCAGGAUUUGAAGAUUAUACAAUUUGGAUGACUCUUCUUUAAAAAAUUACUAAUACCAAAUUAGAUCUAGGGCCUUGGGAAGGGCCUGGAAGCAUAAGCUACAUUACCUUUAUAGCAAACCCAGCUUGGACUCAUGGAGAAGGUUGCUAAGAAACACAUACAUUGCUAGAUCAGGACAGUGGUGAUUCUGAUAAGGCUGAAUGCCCAAUUUGGAGAACUUUGUGAUCCAGAGAACAGUGAUUUGAAGGCACUUUGACAUGAAGAUGCAACACAACAGUGGAUGUGGUUUGAAGGAGGGCUUUGGCAAUCCAAACAACUGAAAGAGACAUCCUGUGUAAAUUUUAAUGAGAUAUCAAUUUUUGCCAUUCAAUUUCUCAAUUUUAAAAAAUUAUACUGCUGAGCCAGCCUCCAGCUAACUUAUACAGUACCUAUGUACCAUUUACAAAAAUAUGUCUAUUUAGGCUGACAAGGUGGAAAGACAAACCCCUUCUGGGCAGGUGGGGUGGUAUUGUAUGACAAUCUGGUGGAGCUUUCAGGCAAGCAUUUCUUUCUUUCAAAGCAUUUCUUUCUUUCUCUGUGGUGUCGCACUUGCAGGGAGCAAGGCUGGGCAAGGGAACUGCUGAGUGAAUUUCAGCCCUAAUUCAUCCUCUCAGCUAGGUACCUUUGCACAGUGUCCAAACUGUACAACCAAACAAGGCAGUCCUGUACCUACAGGUGUAGUGAUUUUAACAGCAUGACUAAAGGAACCUAAAAAUGUGCAAUCCUCUGGCCCAGAAAGUCCACUUCUUGGAAUUUAUUCUAAGAAAAUUAUCAGGGAAAAGUACAAGUACAAAUAUUUAUAUAGAACACUUCUAGAAAGUGUUUAUAUAAAGAAAAAUUGAAAACAACUUGUAUGUCCAAUAAUACAACAUGGAUAAAUUAACUUGUGACUCAGCCUAACAAUAGAAUACUGACCAUCCAUUAAAUGAAUUUUAAAUGGCAAGAGGAAAUGUUCAUGACAUAAUUAUAAAUUAAAAACCAAGAAAGGAAACUAUGCAGACUAUAAAAAUAUGUGUGUUUGUUAAAAAAGACCAGAAAACACCAAACUAUUAAUAUUAAAAGUAGUUAUCUAUGGAGCAUUAUCUGUGGAUUACAGGCAAUUUUAUUUUCUUAUUCAUAUUUUUCCAUAUUAAAAUUUUUUUACCUUGUAAAUGUCAUACUCUUACCUUUAUUGCAAACAUAUUUUAAAGUCGUAUCCAGACUUGAAGGGCAGAGACAAAAUUGGAGCAGUGAGUGAAUGUUGCCUUGACCUCAUGGGUGUAGUGUUUGCAUCUCAUUGAUUUCCACUUUGCAUCAAGUCCCAUGCCUCUGGUGGCUCGGGUGUGCCUUGCUUCAUUACCCUCUGUCCCAUAGUGAUGGAUGGUCAUCGGAGGAAUGCGAUAUCUCCCUAUGACUAUCCCUACUUUUCAAAGCCCCAGGAGUAUCUCCAUGUACUUCAGCACUAUGACAAAACAGCUUCGGGUCACUAAAGACACUUAUCCAGAAGCCACCAUAGAAGGUGAAGAUAAUGUGAGUCAGACUAGAGCAGCUAAUUGACUUAGCUAUUGACUUUCAGAUUUAUGGGACACCACUGCUGAGUAAUUAAAUUUACUGAGCUAUUUCAACAAGAUAUUAACUUUAAGUAAUCCUCACUAAACAUAAAUUGAGAGCUGGA